GAUCAAGCGAAUAUGUGCAUGUGGUGGAUGCCUUGGCGAUCACAGGCGAUGAAGGACGUGCAAGCCUGCGAAAAGCGGGGGGGAGCUGGCAAUGGAGCUUUGAUCCCCCGAUCUCCGAAUGGGGAAAC
rnacentral:rRNA from 1 species